UAAUACAGAGGUGGCAAGCGUUGUUCGGAAUUACUGGGCGUAAAGGGCGCGUAGGCGGCCUUGUCAGUCAGACGUGAAAUCCCCAGGCUUAACCUGGGAACUGCGUCUGAUACUACAAGGCUGGAGUUCGGGAGAGGAAUGUGGAAUUCCAGGUGUAGCGGUGAAAUGCGUAGAUAUCUGGAGGAACACCGGUGGCGAAGGCGGCAUUCUGGACCGAAACUGACGCUGAGGCGCGAAAGCCAGGGGAGCAAACGGGAUUAGAUACCCCGGUAGUCCUGGCCCUAAACGAUGAGUGCUUGGUGUGGCGGGUAUCGAUCCCUGCCGUGCCGAAGCUAACGCAUUAAGCACUCCGCCUGGGGAGUACGGUCGCAAGGCUG
rnacentral:rRNA from 1 species